GAUGAACGCUGGCGGCGUGCCUAAUACAUGCAAGUCGAGCGGUAAGGCUUUCACUCUGUAUUUAAUGAGUUGAAUAUAGUGUGAAAGUACACGAGCGGCGGACGGCUGAGUAACGCGUAGGAACGUACCCCAAACGUGAGGGAUAAGCACCGGAAACGGUGUCUAAUACCGCAUGUGAUCUUCGGAUUAAAGCUUUAUGCGCUUUGGGAGCGGCCUGCGUAAGAUUAGUUUGUUGGUGAGGUAAUGGCUCACCAAGACUACGAUCUUUAGCUGGUCUGAGAGGAUGAUCAGCCAGACUGGGACUGAGACACGGCCCAGACUCCUACGGGAGGCAGCAGUAGGGAAUUUUCCACAAUGGACGAAAGUCUGAUGGAGCAACGCCGCGUGCAGGAUGAAGGCCUCGGUUGUAAACUGCUUUAUUCUGUGUACGAUUAUGACGGUAGCAGAUGAAUAAGG
rnacentral:rRNA from 1 species